rfam:Picea glauca, whole genome shotgun sequence.
ACAAUGGUGUUUUUAAACACCAAUAUUUUUUUUGAUAUGUUAUUAU